AGAGUUUGAUCCUGGCUCAGAACGAACGCUGGCGGCAGGCUUAACACAUGCAAGUUGAGCGGGAUUGUUAGUAGCUUGCUACUGAACAUGAGAGCAGCGCACUGGUGAGUAACACGUGGGAACAUACCUUUUGGUGGGGGACAACAGUUGGAAACGACUGCUAAUACCGCAUAAGCCCUAAGGGGGAAAGAUUCAUUGCCGAAAGAUUGGCCCGCGGAAGAUUAGGUAGUAGGUGGGGUAACGGCCUACCUAGCCGACGAUCUAUAGCUGGUCUGAGAGGACGAUCAGCCACAUUGGAACUGAGACACGGUCCAGACUCCUACGGGAGGCAGCAGUGAGGAAUAUUGGGCAAUGGAGGCAACUCUGACCCAGCCCAUGCCGCGUGAGUGAAGAAGGUUUUCGGAUUGUAAAGCUCUUUCAGACGGGAAGAUGAUGACGGUACCGUCAGAAGAAGCACCGGCUAACUUCGUGCCAGCAGCCGC
rnacentral:rRNA from 1 species